rnacentral:rRNA from 1 species
GAUGAACGCUGGCGGCGUGCCUAAUACAUGCAAGUCGAGCGAACAGACGAGGAGCUUGCUCCUCUGACGUUAGCGGCGGACGGGUGAGUAACACGUGGAUAACCUACCUAUAAGACUGGGAUAACUUCGGGAAACCGGAGCUAAUACCGGAUAAUAUAUUGAACCGCAUGGUUCAAUAGUGAAAGACGGUUUUGCUGUCACUUAUAGCUGGAUCCGCGCCGCAUUAGCUAGUUGGUAAGGUAAUGGCUUACCAAGGCAACGAUGCGUAGCCGACCUGAGAGGGUGAUCGGCCACACUGGAACUGAGACACGGUCCAGACUCCUACGGGAGGCAGCAGUAGGGAAUCUUCCGCAAUGGGCGAAAGCCUGACGGAGCAACGCCGCGUGAGUGAUGAAGGUCUUCGGAUCGUAAAACUCUGUUAUUAGGGAAGAACAAAUGUGUAAGUAACUAUGCACGUCUUGACGGUACCUAAUCAGAAAGCCACGGCUAACUACGUG